GAGUUUGAUCCUGGCUCAGAUUGAACGCUGGCGGCAGGCCUAACACAUGCAAGUCGAGCGGCAGCGGGUCCUUCGGGAUGCCGGCGAGCGGCGGACGGGUGAGUAAUGCCUAGGAAUCUGCCUGGUAGUGGGGGAUAACUCGGGGAAACUCGAGCUAAUACCGCAUACGUCCUACGGGAGAAAGCGGGGGAUCUUCGGACCUCGCGCUACCAGAUGAGCCUAGGUCGGAUUAGCUAGUUGGUGAGGUAAAGGCUCACUAAGGCGACGAUCCGUAGCUGGUCUGAGAGGAUGAUCAGCCACACUGGAACUGAGACACGGUCCAGACUCCUACGGGAGGCAGCAGUGGGGAAUAUUGGACAAUGGGCGAAAGCCUGAUCCAGCCAUGCCGCGUGUGUGAAGAAGGUCUUCGGAUUGUAAAGCACUUUAAGUUGGGAGGAAGGGCAGUAAGUUAAUACCUUGCUGUUUUGACGUUACCGACAGAAUAAGCACCGGCUAACUUCGUGCCAGCAGCCGCGGUAAUACGAAGGGUGCAAGCGUUAAUCGGAAUUACUGGGCGUAAAGCGCGCGUAGGUGGUUUGAUAAGUUGGAUGUGAAAGCCCCGGGCUCAACCUGGGAAUUGCAUCCAAAACUGUCUGACUAGAGUAUGGCAGAGGGUGGUGGAAUUUCCUGUGUAGCGGUGAAAUGCGUAGAUAUAGGAAGGAACACCAGUGGCGAAGGCGACCGCCUGGGCUAAUACUGACACUGAGGUGCGAAAGCGUGGGGGAGCAAACAGGAUUAGAUACCCUGGGUAGUCCACGCCGUAAACGAUGUCGACU
rnacentral:rRNA from 1 species